UUUCAAUUCUUCCUGCCAACAGAAAAAUUACCAUUACCAUCUCCAGGAAAUGAUUGCCCAUGUUCCAACCUCUCAUCCUUGAAACCUAAGUGGCAUGAACAACCAUCAUCAAUACAAUAUUGCCUUGAAAGUUCUACAACAACUCUGGUAGCUAGGCUUGCAUGUUCUGCAAACUCAGCCGCUGCUUGAACAACAGAGGUAGCAUCCUUAAAUUUCAUGUUCCAUUUCUGACUGCCAACAGAAAAAUUACGAUUACCAUCUCCAGAAAAUGAUUGACCAUAUUCCAACCGUUCAUUCUUGAAACCUAAGUGGCAUAAACCACCAUCAUCAAUACAAUAUUACUUUGAAAUUUCGACAACAACUCUGGCAGCUGGUCUUGAAUGUUCUGCAAAGUCAGCCGCUGCUUGAGCAGCAGAGGUAGCAUGCUUAUAUUUCAUGUUCCAAUUCUGCCUGCCAACAGAAAUAUUACCAUUACCAUCUAUAGGAAAUGAUUGCCCGUGUUCCAACCUUUCAUCCUUGAAACCUAAGUGGCAUGAAUCACCAUCCUCAAUACAAUAUUGCCUUGAAAGUUCUACAACAGCUCUGGCAGCUAGGCUUGCAUGUUCUGCAAAC
rnacentral:lncRNA from 1 species